GGGAGUUUGAUCCUGGCUCAGGACGAACGCUUGCGGCGUGCCUAAGAAAUGCAAGUCGAGCGGAUCCCUCUCCCAUCGAGCCCCGGGCCGAGACCUUCUUUUAGGAAGGUUCUUGGGAGCGGGGUUGGAUGGGAGAGGGAUUAGCGGCGAACGGUCGCGUAACACGUAAGCAACCUGCCCUCAAGACCGGGACAACAGCCCGAAAGGGCUGCUAAUACCGGAUGUGACCACCGGCUGGCAUCAGCGGGUGAUUAAAUCCCUUCGGGGGCUUGAGGAGGGGCUUGCGGCCUAUCAGCUAGUUGGUGGGGUAAUGGCCUACCAAGGCGACGACGGGUAGCUGGUCUGAGAGGACGGCCAGCCGGACUGGGACUGAGAGACGGCCCAGACUCCUACGGGGGGCAGCAAUUAGGAAUCUUGCGCAAUGGGCGAAAGCCUGACGCAGCGACGCCGCGUGGAGGAGGAAGUCCUUCGGGAUGUAAACUCCUUUUGGGGGGAAAGAAGCUCUGACGGUACCCCCCGAAUAAGCCCCGGCUAACUACGUGCCAGCAGCCGCGGUAAUACGUAGGGGGCGAGCGUUGUCCGAAGUUACUGGGCGUAAAGCGCGCGUAGGCGGGGAAUUAAGUGAGAGGUGAAAGGCUCGGGCUCAACCUGAUGCAGGGCCUCUCAUACUGGUUCUCUUGAGGGCGGUAGAGAGAAGUGGAAUGGCUGGUGUAGCGGUGAAAUGCGUAGAUAUCAGUCGGAACACCGGUGGCGAAGGCGGCUUCUCGGGCCGUUUCUGACGCUGAGGCGCGAAAGCCAGGGGAGCGAACGGGAUUAGAUACCCCGGUAGUCCUGGCCGUAAACGAUGGAUACUAGGUGUUGGGGGUAUCGACCCCUCCAGUGCCGCAGCUAACGCAGUAAGUAUCCCGCCUGGGGGAGUACGGCCCGCAAGGUUGAAGCUCAAAGGAAUUGACGGGGGCCCGCACAAGCGGUGGAGCAUGUUGUUUAAUACGUCACUAACCCGUAGAACCUUACCAGGGGCUGGACUUCUGGGCCCGACCCGGUGAAAGCCCGGGGUUCUCCCCCCAAGGGAAAACGCCCAAAACAGGUGUUUGCAUGGGCUGGUCCUCCACCUCCGUGGCCUUGAAAAUGUUGGGGUUAAACUCCCGCCACCCAAGGGCAACCCUUCACCCCUCGUGUUGCCAACCGGGUUCAGGCCCGGGAAAUCCUGGGGGGAAACUUCCUCGGGGAAACCUGGGAGGGAGAGGUGGGGGGUUAGACCUUUACUUUCCCCC
rnacentral:rRNA from 1 species